GUUGGGCCACACAGAAGGAUCUGAAGGACAAAGCAGAGUCAAAGGAUACUUGUUGACAUUUGUAAAGGAAGAAUAGAGGUUUUGGGAGAUAUCUGACCCCCUAAACCACAUGUCCAGGGCUGAUGGUUUAAAAGUGUGUGGCAGUUCCACCCCCAACUCCUGCCGUCAUGUGAGACAUACCUGGCUUCCUCUUCCCCUUCUGGUAUGAUGGUAAGUUUCCUCCGCAGUCAUGCAGAAUUGUGAGUCAAUUAAAUCUUUUUUUCUCUAUAAAUUAUCCAGUCUCAGGUAGUUCCUUGUA
rnacentral:lncRNA from 1 species